AUUGAACGCUGGCGGCAGGCCUAACACAUGCAAGUCGAACGAGUGGCGGACGGGUGAGUAAUGUCUGGGAACCUGCCUGAUGGAGGGGGAUAACUACUGGAAACGGUAGCUAAUACCGCAUACCAUCAGAGGUGCCGAUAUGGGAUUAGCUAGUUGGUGGGGUAACGGCUCACCAAGGCGACGAUCCCUAGCUGGUCGGAGAGGAGGACCAGCCACACUGGGACUGAGACACGGCCCAGACUCCUACGGGAGGCAGCAGUGGGGAAUAUUGGACAAUGGGCGCAAGCCUGAUGCAGCCAUGCCGCGUGUAUGAAGAAGGCCUUCGGGUUGUAAAGUACUUUCAGCGGGGAGGCGUUACCCGCAGAAGAAGCACCGGCUAACUACGUGCCAGCAGCCGCGGUAAUUC
rnacentral:rRNA from 1 species